rnacentral:rRNA from 1 species
GGUACGUAGGUAGGUUGUACGUCCGUCGGCGUACAGGAACGAACGCGUGGUCGGCGUGGAGUUAGGCGAUGCAAGUCGAACGGUAUCAUCCUUUCGGGGGUGAGAGAGUGGCGAACUGGUGAGUAACACGUAGGUUAUCUACCCUCAAGACGGGGACAACCCAGGGAAACUUGGGCUAAUACCGGAUGUGAGCAACUUUUAGUUGUUUGAAAGGUGGCGUAAGCUGUCGCUUGGGGAUGAGCCUGCGUCCUAUUAGUUAGUUGGUGAGGUAACGGCUCACCUAGGCAAUGAUAGGUAGGCGGCCUUAACGGGUGGUCGCCCACACUGGGAUUGAGAUACGGCCCAGACUCCUACGGGAGGCAGCAGUCGAGAAUAGUCUACAAUGGUCGGAAGACUGAUAGUGCGACGCCGCGUGAACGAUGAAUCCCUUCGGGGUGUAAAGUUCUUUUAUAUGUGAGCAGUGCUUCUUAUAUUAACAGUAUGGGGAGAGAGAUAUUAGCAUAUGAAUAAGCAACGGCUAACUCCGUG